GGACAUAUAAGGACAUGACAACAUAUUCCAUGAACUCCUGAGGGUGUGUGAGUCUGUGUCACAACAGUGGUUCCUCUUUCUCGCAUGAGGCUGCUGUAUAUAAGAUAACAGAUCCUUGCUUCAGUCAUUAUUCCACUGAACAGUGAAGCCGUUUGCAGCUGUGAUCAACUCACUGUUUGAAGAUGUGGACUCUUUCUGCCGGCCGCUGGAUGUUCCUGCUCACUCUGGCCCUUGUUAUGAUCGUCUCCUUAUCACAAGUGGCUACAGGCUGCUGUGAMAAAGUCACCACCAACAGAUACGUAGUCAAAAAGUGUUGGGAACAGAAGCGAUCAGGGAACUGCAAACUGCACGCCUACCUGAUUGAAACCAAAAUGAAAGGAACAAAGUGCAUCGAUCCAGAGGCCGCGUGGAUUAAACACCAGAUAAAAAAUGUGAGAAUCAGAUGAAAACCUCAUUAACAGUGAAUGUGCAGAUGAGCUUAUUCAGUAAAACUAUCUGGAUUUAAAAAUAACAAACAGAUAAUCAGUUUUGAACUAAACUAAACGAUGUCAGGUUUCAUUACAAGUUUUACGAGCCAAACAUAAACUAUAUUAAAGAUGCAGCAGCAAAUCACACAAURAAAUUAGCUCAUCAAACAACUAGAACAUGAAAAUACUGCUUUUUAUCUGUUUAUAUCAACUUCCUGUUUCCCUCUCUU